rnacentral:tRNA from 1 species
UUUCGUCCUGGGCCACCUGGCGGGUGUAGCGUGCCAGUUGCACACGGGCGCUUUCAACCGAGGUGCGCGCCUGGCUCAAGUCCAGGGCCGAGGCC